rnacentral:rRNA from 1 species
GACGAACGCUGGCGGCGUGCCUAAUACAUGCAAGUCGAACGAGUUGCGAACGGGUGAGUAACGCGUGGUAACCUGCCUCAUAGCGGGGGAUAACUAUUGGAAACGGUAGCUAAUACCGCAUAUCAUGAGAUGGACCUGCUUUGUAUGAGCUAGUGGGUGAGGUAAAGGCUCACCAAGGCGACGAUACAUAGCCGACCUGAGAGGGUGAUCGGCCACACUGGAACUGAGACACGGUCCAGACUCCUACUGUAGGCAGCAGUGGGGAAUAUUGCACAAUGGGGGAUAGCCUGAUGCAGCUAUGCCGCGUUUGAAGAAGGCCUUCGGGUUGUAAAGCACUUUCAGCGAGGAGGCGUUACUCGCAGAAGAAGCACCGGCUAACUCCGUGCCAGCAGCCGCGGUAAUUC